CCCAGACUCCUACGGGAGGCAGCAGUGGGGAAUAUUGCACAAUGGGCGAAAGCCUGAUGCAGCGACGCCGCGUGAGGGAUGACGGCCUUCGGGUUGUAAACCUCUUUCAGCAGGGAAGAAGCGAAAGUGACGGUACCUGCAGAAGAAGCGCCGGCUAACUACGUGCCAGCAGCCGCGGUAAUACGUAGGGCGCAAGCGUUGUCCGGAAUUAUUGGGCGUAAAGAGCUCGUAGGCGGCUUGUCACGUCGGGUGUGAAAGCCCGGGGCUUAACCCCGGGUCUGCAUCCGAUACGGGCAGGCUAGAGUGUGGUAGGGGAGAUCGGAAUUCCUGGUGUAGCGGUGAAAUGCGCAGAUAUCAGGAGGAACACCGGUGGCGAAGGCGGAUCUCUGGGCCAUUACUGACGCUGAGGAGCGAAAGCGUGGGGAGCGAACAGGAUUAGAUACCCUGGUAGUCCACGCCGUAAACGUUGGGAACUAGGUGUUGGCGACAUUCCACGUCGUCGGUGCCGCAGCUAACGCAUUAAGUUCCCCGCCUGGGGAGUACGGCCGCAAGGCUAAAACUCAAAGGAAUUGACGGGGGCCCGCACAAGCAGCGGAGCAUGUGGCUUAAUUCGACGCAACGCGAAGAACCUUACCAAGGCUUGACAUAUACCGGAAACAUCCAGAAGAUGGGUGCCCCCUUUGUGGUCGGUAUACAGGUGGUGCAUGGCUGUCGUCAGCUCGUGUCGUGAGAUGGUGGGGUUAAGUCCCGCAACGAGCGCAACCCUUUGUCCUGUGUUGCCAGCAUGCCCUUUCGGGGGUGAUGGGGGACUCACAGGAGAACCGCCGGGGUCAACUCCGGAAGGAAGGUGGGGAACGAACGUCAAGGUCAUCAUGGCCCCUUAAUGUCUUGGGCUUGGCACACUGGCUACAAUGGGCGGUACCAAAAGAGCUGCGAUGCCGUUGAGGCGGGAACGAAUUCUCAAAAAGCCGGGUCUCAGUUUCGGAAUUUGGGGGUCUGCAACUCGCACCCCAUCCGAAGUCGGGGAGUUGCUAGUAAUCGCAGAUCAGCAAUUGCUGCGGUGGGAAAUACGUUCCCGGGCCUUGUACACAACCGCCCGCUCACGUCACGAAAGUCGGUAACACCCGAAGCCGGGGCCCAACC
rnacentral:rRNA from 1 species